UGCUGCUCCAAUAAAGGCUCCUGGCCAAGACAGCUCCCAGAUAGGGCGGCUGCCUCUGUCUCCUCUUAACAGAGGCCUGGGCCCUUUGGCUGGUGUGUGGGGUGUCCGUGCAUGUGACUGUGGCGGGCGGGGCUCUGACAGCCCUCUUCCCACAGCCGGGAUCCAGGCCCCAGGAGCUCUGGGGAAAUCCAGGCUGCUGCCAAAGGUCACUGGACUUAAUGCCUUGCCCAGCUUGCUGCUGGCAGAAAGCUGCCCACUCAGGCCAGCCUCUCCCUGGUCCCUGCUCUUGUAGUCUCCGAAGGGCUCCAGGUGGCCCCACAUGGCUGAGAGCCAGGAAGCCUCCAUGGGAAAGACUGUCUGUCCCUCCUUUUCUCUGCCUUAGGGUCCUUGCUCUGGAUCCCACAGAAGUUCUCUCAACUCCUGGCAUCCACAAGAACAAUCUCUACAGGUGGCUGCCCUGCCAAGCACACAGGACCUGGUGCUUCAGUCAUAAAAAGGAUUUGAUUUUCAAAAUCAGACCUGAGCGUGGAUGGCGUAGAGACAGUCACCUAGAAGAAGGUGCAGAGGAGAGGCUGCCUCGGACUGCCCCACACUCUCUGAUGCCCACUGCCCUCUGA
rnacentral:lncRNA from 1 species